rnacentral:rRNA from 1 species
AUUGAACGCUGGCGGCAGGCCUAACACAUGCAAGUCGAGCGGUAGCACAGAGAGCUUGCUCUCGGGUGACGAGCGGCGGACGGGUGAGUAAUGUCUGGGAAACUGCCUGAUGGAGGGGGAUAACUACUGGAAACGGUAGCUAAUACCGCAUAACGUCGCAAGACCAAAGUGGGGGACCUUCGGGCCUCAUGCCAUCAGAUGUGCCCAGAUGGGAUUAGCUAGUAGGUGGGGUAAUGGCUCACCUAGGCGACGAUCCCUAGCUGGUCUGAGAGGAUGACCAGCCACACUGGAACUGAGACACGGUCCAGACUCCUACGGGAGGCAGCAGUGGGGAAUAUUGCACAAUGGGCGCAAGCCUGAUGCAGCCAUGCCGCGUGUGUGAAGAAGGCCUUCGGGUUGUAAAGCACUUUCAGCGGGGAGGAAGGCGUUAAGGUUAAUAACCUUGGCGAUUGACGUUACCCGCAGAAGAAGCACCGGCUAACUCCGUGCCAGCAGCCGCGGUAAUACGGAGGGUGCAAGCGUUAAUCGGAAUUACUGGGCGUAAAGCGCACGCAGGCGGUCUGUCAAGUCGGAUGUGAAAUCCCCGGGCUCAACCUGGGAACUGCAUUCGAAACUGGCAGGCUAGAGUCUUGUAGAGGGGGGUAGAAUUCCAGGUGUAGCGGUGAAAUGCGUAGAGAUCUGGAGGAAUACCGGUGGCGACGCGGCCCCCUGGACAAAGACUGACGCUCAGUGCGAAAGCGUGGGGAGCAAACAGGAUUAGAUACCCUGGUAGUCCACGCCGUAAACGAUGUCGAUUUGGAGGUUGUGCCCUUGAGGCGUGGCUUCCGGAGCUAACGCGUUAAAUCGACCGCCUGGGGAGUACGGCCGCAAGGUUAAAACUCAAAUGAAUUGACGGGGGCCCGCACAAGCGGUGGAGCAUGUGGUUUAAUUCGAUGCAACGCGAAGAACCUUACCUGGUCUUGACAUCCACAGAACUUUCCAGAGAUGGAUUGGUGCCUUCGGGAACUGUGAGACAGGUGCUGCAUGGCUGUCGUCAGCUCGUGUUGUGAAAUGUUGGGUUAAGUCCCGCAACGAGCGCAACCCUUAUCCUUUGUUGCCAGCGGUUAGGCCGGGAACUCAAAGGAGACUGCCAGUGAUAAACUGGAGGAAGGUGGGGAUGACGUCAAGUCAUCAUGGCCCUUACGACCAGGGCUACACACGUGCUACAAUGGCAUAUACAAAGAGAAGCGACCUCGCGAGAGCAAGCGGACCUCAUAAAGUAUGUCGUAGUCCGGAUUGGAGUCUGCAACUCGACUCCAUGAAGUCGGAAUCGCUAGUAAUCGUAGAUCAGAAUGCUACGGUGAAUACGUUCCCGGGCCUUGUACACACCGCCCGUCACACCAUGGGAGUGGGUUGCAAAAGAAGUAGGUAGCUUAACCUUCGGGAGGGCGCUUACCACUUUGUGAUUCAUGACUGGGGUGA